AUGCUCCUGGUGCUCAUAUCAGUACUGGGAAUACAUUUUGCCCUGAGAGAUGCCAGAGCUCAGUCAGUGACCCAGCCUGAUGUUCAUGUCACUGUCUCUGAAGGAGCCUCUCUGGAGUUGAGAUGCAACUAUUCCCAUGGUGGAAGUCUUUAUCUCUUCUGGUAUGUCCAGUACCCACGCCAAGGCCUCCAACGUCUCCUCAAGUACUCAUCAGGGGACCCCCAGGUCAAAGGCAUUAAAGGUUUUGAGGAUGAAUUUGUGAAAAGUGAAUCUUCUUUCCACCUGAGGAAACCCUCUGUGCACUGGAGUGAUACAGCUGAGUACUUCUGUGCUUGGGUUGCCACAGUGCCUGGAACCGCAGGGGAAGCUGAACACAAACCACCCACGGUAGUGGAGUCUUCUGAGACUCAGGGUCUCUUCCUAUGGUAUUUUUAG